AUACUUAUUUGGACGGAAUCUAUGGGUGAUCAAAAAGGCUCAUGGUCUAGGUUAGUAACCUCCAUUGUACUCAGGAGGGGUGCUUGCUUAAAGUCUAUUCAAGAAGUGGAGCCUAUGUCAUAAUUUGUGAUAGUGGGAGUUUGUUCGCGCGGUCCCAG